rnacentral:rRNA from 1 species
AACGAACGCUGGCGGCGUGGAUAAGACAUGCAAGUCGAACGAGAGAAUUGCUAGCUUGCUAAUAAUUCUCUAGUGGCGCACGGGUGAGUAACACGUGAGUAACCUGCCCCCGAGAGCGGGAUAGCCCUGGGAAACUGGGAUUAAUACCGCAUAGUAUCGAAAGAUUAAAGCAGCAAUGCGCUUGGGGAUGGGCUCGCGGCCUAUUAGUUAGUUGGUGAGGUAACGGCUCACCAAGGCGAUGACGGGUAGCCGGUCUGAGAGGAUGUCCGGCCACACUGGAACUGAGACACGGUCCAGACACCUACGGGUGGCAGCAGUCGAGAAUCAUUCACAAUGGGGGAAACCCUGAUGGUGCGACGCCGCGUGGGGGAAUGAAGGUCUUCGGAUUGUAAACCCCUGUCAUGUGGGAGCAAAUUAAAAAGAUAGUACC